UCUCACUUAAUUCUGACUGUAGAUGUUGCCAUUCCUCCAAUUUUACAGAUAAAGAAAUCACGCUUUAGAGAGGUUGGGCUGCUUUUCCUAGAAGGAAGAAUUAGGAAGAAGGAGGGAUAAAAAGCAAGAAGACAGAACAGCUGCCGCGGGGGUGCAGGAGGGCGCAAUAACACAGAGAUUGACAUUUCCCAGGCCUGCAGCCACGGCACUCCGACCAGCCCCCGGCCUGCCAGCUGCUGCAGGGCGUCCCUGGGGUGUGCGCAUGUGCGCACGCGUGCGGGCCCACUCGCCACCCCUCCCUCUGGCCGCCUCAAAAGUUCAUCUGCCCGGACGUUGAUGCCUCAGCUCUCCCUCUCUGAAAUAUAUACCAAACAACUGCAGCGUGCCAAAUGCCAGUCUAAAACAAGGACCCAGAGAUAAAUGAAGCCAAAACUCAAGGACGACCCAUGCAGUAGGAAAGACAGACCUGCACAUGAAGCCCUGACAGUUCAGCCUGCUUAAUCAUUUAUAGGCUCUUCUGAAGCUCUGCCCGGCUCAGUCUUAAUGCGUUCCUACACCCAUCAUGACGUGCGAGCCUGCGUGGGUUUGUACGAUCUCUGCAGGGAAGAACACACAGUUCUCAAGUCCCACUUUGGUCCUAUUUGCUUUCUAAUAGUGAAAAUGCUAAGUGAACAAGAUUGUUAUCUAUUUAUUAAGACACGUGGCCCCUCCUUCUCUCUAACCCCACAACCAGUUCCUGUCAGUGGAAACGCAAAAAUAA